rnacentral:rRNA from 1 species
GAUGAACGCUGGCGGCGUGCCUAAUACAUGCAAGUCGAGCGAAUGGAUUAAGAGCUUGCUCUUAUGAAGUUAGCGGCGGACGGGUGAGUAACACGUGGGUAACCUGCCCAUAAGACUGGGAUAACUCCGGGAAACCGGGGCUAAUACCGGAUAACAUUUUGAACCGCAUGGUUCGAAAUUGAAAGGCGGCUUCGGCUGUCACUUAUGGAUGGACCCGCGCCGCAUUAGCUAGUUGGUGAGGUAACGGCUCACCAAGGCAACGAUGCGUAGCCGACCUGAGAGGGUGAUCGGCCAGACUGGGACUGAGACACGGCCCAGACUCCUACGGGAGGCAGCAGUAGGGAAUCUUCCGCAAUGGACGAAAGUCUGACGGAGCAACGCCGCGUGAGUGAUGAAGGCUUUCGGGUCGUAAAACUCUGUUGUUAGGGAAGAACAAGUGCUAGUUGAAUAAGCUGGCACCUUGACGGUACCUAACCAGAAAGCCACGGCUAACUACGUGCCAGCAGCCGCAGUAA